rnacentral:rRNA from 1 species
UACGUAGGGUGCGAGCGUUAAUCGGAAUUACUGGGCGUAAAGCGUGCGCAGGCGGUUUGUUAAGACAGAUGUGAAAUCCCCGGGCUUAACCUGGGAACUGCAUUUGUGACUGGCAAGCUAGAGUAUGGCAGAGGGGGGUAGAAUUCCACGUGUAGCAGUGAAAUGCGUAGAGAUGUGGAGGAAUACCGAUGGCGAAGGCAGCCCCCUGGGCCCAUUACUGACGCUGAGGAGCGAAAGCGUGGGG